rnacentral:rRNA from 1 species
GUGGGGAAUCUUCCGCAAUGGACGAAAGUCUGACGGAGCAACGCCGCGUGAGUGAAGAAGGUUUUCGGAUCGUAAAGCUCUUUCGUUAGGGACGAACGUGCUCUUUGUGAAUAAUGAGGAGUAAUGACGGUACCUAAAUAAGAAGCCACGGCUAACUACGUGCCAGCAGCCGCGGUAAUACGUAGGUGGCAAGCGUUGUCCGGAAUUAUUGGGCAUAAAGCGCGCGCAGGCGGGAUAUCAAGUCUGUCUUAAAAGUGCGAGGCUCAACCUCGUGAGGGGACAGAAACUGGUAUUCUUGAGUGUCGGAGAGGAAAGUGGAAUUCCAAGUGUAGCGGUGAAAUGCGUAGAGAUUUGGAAGAACACCAGUGGCGAAGGCGACUUUCUGGACGAUGUCUGACGCUGAGGCGCGAAAGCUAGGGGAGCGAACGGGAUUAGAUACCCUGGUAGUCC